GUGAAGGAAUGGACUCCGAUGGAGGUUAGAUGAUCAAAAUAUGGACGCUUCAAUUUCUUUAAGGAUACAUGCCAAGUAGCAAUACUUUCGUGAUCUCUUGGGAAUUGGACAUGAUAGACUAAUUCCAUGGAAAAAGUAAACAAUGUAACCGAA